rfam:Cordyceps confragosa RCEF 1005 scaffold_3, whole genome shotgun sequence.
UCCGGUAUGGUGUAGUGGCUAACAUCGCUCGCUCUCAAUAAUUUGACGAACCGAGCAGCCCAGGGUUCGAUUCCCUGUACCGGAG